UGUGUGUGUGUCAGGGCAGUGCCUACCUUGAAUAAAAUAGAUCGAUAGCAACAUUUUCAUUUCAUGGCAAAAUAUACACCUAAUUCAAUAAAAUUAUGAAGGUUACUCUAAUUACUAUGCAUA